rnacentral:rRNA from 1 species
GGUUAAGUGAAUAAGGGCGCACGGUGGAUGCCUUGGCACUAGGAGCCGAUGAAGGACGGGACUAACACCGAUAUGCUUUGGGGAGCUGUACGUAAGCUAUGAUCCAGAGAUUUCCGAAUGGGGGAACCCAGCAUCUUUAAUAGGAUGUUACGAUUGUGUGAAUACAUAGCACAUUCGAGGUAGACGCAGAGAACUGAAACAUCUAAGUACCUGCAGGAAGAGAAAGAAAAUUCGAUUCCCUGAGUAGCGGCGAGCGAAACGGGAAAAGCCCAAACCAGCAAGCUUGCUUGUUGGGGUUGUAGGACUCCAAUAUGGUAGUUCUUUCAGAUAGUCGAAUGACUUGGAAAAGUCAGUCAAAGAGGGUAAAAACCCCGUAGACGAAAUGUGGAAGACACCUAGGAGGAUCCUGAGUACGGCGGAACACGAGAAAUUCCGUCGGAAUCCGGGAGGACCAUCUCCCAAGGCUAAAUACUCCCUAGUGACCGAUAGUGAACCAGUACCGUGAGGGAAAGGUGAAAAGCACCCCGGAAGGGGAGUGAAAUAGAACCUGAAACCGUGUGCCUACAACAAGUCAAAGCCCGUUAAUGGGUGAUGGCGUGCCUUUUGUAGAAUGAACCGGCGAGUUACGAUUGCAUGCGAGGUUAAGUUGAAGAGACGGAGCCGCAGCGAAAGCGAGUCUGAAUAGGGCGUUUGAGUAUGUAGUCGUAGACCCGAAACCAUGUGAUCUACCCAUGUCCAGGUUGAAGGUGCGGUAAAACGCACUGGAGGACCGAACCCACGUACGUUGAAAAGUGCGGGGAUGAGGUGUGGGUAGCGGAGAAAUUCCAAACGAACUUGGAGAUAGCUGGUUCUCUCCGAAAUAGCUUUAGGGCUAGCCUCGGAAUUGAGAAUGAUGGAGGUAGAGCACUGUUUGGACUAGGGGCCCAUCUCGGGUUACCGAAUUCAGAUAAACUCCGAAUGCCAUUCAUUCAUAUCCGGGAGUCAGACUGUGAGUGAUAAGAUCCAUAGUCGAAAGGGAAACAGCCCAGACCACCAGCUAAGGUCCCAAAAUAUAUGUUAAGUGGAAAAGGAUGUGGGGUUGCACAGACAACUAGGAUGUUGGCUUAGAAGCAGCCAUCAUUUAAAGAGUGCGUAAUAGCUCACUAGUCGAGUGACCCUGCGCCGAAAAUGUACCGGGGCUAAACAUAUUACCGAAGCUGUGGAGUACACCUUUAGGUGUAUUGGUAGGAGAGCGUUCUAAGGGCGUCGAAGGCAGAUCGUGAGGACUGCUGGAGCGCUUAGAAGUGAGAAUGCCGGUAUGAGUAGCGAAAGACAGGUGAGAAUCCUGUCCACCGAAUGACUAAGGUUUCCUGGGGAAGGCUCGUCCGCCCAGGGUUAGUCGGGACCUAAGCCGAGGCCGACAGGCGUAGGCGAUGGAUAACAGGUUGAUAUUCCUGUACCCGUUGUUUUUGUUUGAGCAAUGGAGGGACGCAGGAGGCUAAGGAAUGCAGACGAUCGGAAAUGUCUGUCCAAGCAGUAAGUCUGAAGAGGAGUCAAAUGCUUCUUUUCUUAAGGACAAGCUGUGAUGGGGAGGGAAAUAAUAGUACCGAAGUUCCUGAUGUCACACUGCCGAGAAAAGCUUCUAGUGAGAAAACAGCGGCCCGUACCGCAAACCGACACAGGUAGUCGAGGAGAGAAUCCUAAGGUGAGCGAGAGAACUCUCGUUAAGGAACUCGGCAAAAUGACCCCGUAACUUCGGGAGAAGGGGUGCUGAUCAUACGAUCAGCCGCAGUGAAUAGGCCCAAGCGACUGUUUAUCAAAAACACAGGUCUCUGCAAAAUCGUAAGAUGAAGUAUAGGGGCUGACGCCUGCCCGGUGCUGGAAGGUUAAGAGGAGUGCUUAGCGCAAGCGAAGGUACGAAUUGAAGCCCCAGUAAACGGCGGCCGUAACUAUAACGGUCCUAAGGUAGCGAAAUUCCUUGUCGGGUAAGUUCCGACCCGCACGAAAGGCGUAACGAUUUGGGCACUGUCUCAACGAGAGACUCGGUGAAAUUUUAGUACCUGUGAAGAUGCAGGUUACCCGCGACAGGACGGAAAGACCCCAUGGAGCUUUACUGUAGUUUGAUAUUGAGUGUCUGUACCGCAUGUACAGGAUAGGUAGGAGCCGUAGAAAUCGGAACGCUAGUUUCGAUGGAGGCGCUGGUGGGAUACUACCCCUGCGUUAUGGCCACUCUAACCCGCACCACUAAUCGUGGUGGGAGACAGUGUCAGAUGGGCAGUUUGACUGGGGCGGUCGCCUCCUAAAAGGUAACGGAGGCGCCCAAAGGUUCCCUCAGAAUGGUUGGAAAUCAUUCGAAGAGUGUAAAGGCAGAAGGGAGCUUGACUGCGAGACCAACAAGUCGAGCAGGGACGAAAGUCGGGCUUAGUGAUCCGGUGGUUCCGCAUGGAAGGGCCAUCGCUCAACGGAUAAAAGCUACCCUGGGGAUAACAGGCUUAUCUCCCCCAAGAGUCCACAUCGACGGGGAGGUUUGGCACCUCGAUGUCGGCUCGUCGCAUCCUGGGGCUGUAGUCGGUCCCAAGGGUUGGGCUGUUCGCCCAUUAAAGCGGCACGCGAGCUGGGUUCAGAACGUCGUGAGACAGUUCGGUCCCUAUCCGUCGCGGGCGUUGGAAAUUUGAGAGGAGCUGUCCUUAGUACGAGAGGACCGGGAUGGACUUACCGCUGGUGUACCAGUUGUUCUGCCAAGGGCAUUGCUGGGUAGCUAUGUAGGGAAGGGAUAAACGCUGAAAGCAUCUAAGUGUGAAGCCCACCUCAAGAUGAGAUUUCCCAUUUCUUUAAGAAAGUAAGAUCCCUGAGAGAUGAUCAGGUAGAUAGGUCAGGAGUGGAAGUACAGUGAUGUAUGGAGCGGACUGAUACUAAUCGAUCGAGGACUUAACCAA